GCAUCCCAAAAUAAAUUAGUUCCUUAUGCAUAGUAUGAGAUGAUAUCCAUAGUAAUACCCAAAAAAAUAAAUCAUCAUUAAUCCUUAAAUAAUAAACUUUUUUUAUGGAAAAUAUUAUCAUAAAUUUAUUGAUGGAACAAGUUGACCUAAUUUAGCACAUUUCUGACAAAUGCAUUGACCAUUUACACAGCAACUUGGGAAUCCUUCACACACUUUGUUGCAAUCUAUCAUCCUAGGGCAUUCUAAGUGAAACUUUGCUUCCACUGAAGUUGGCACUUCCACUGUACAUUUACAAAAUAUAUUUUUCAUUAGAUCAAAAAUAUUAGUUACAUUCUUUUUAACAUCGACAAAACGUUACUGUAAUGGUGUAAGACUGUAUUUGAUUCUUAAAUAGAUUAAACUAUCAAAUACUUGAUUUCAGAUAGCCAUACUUGUUGAGAGGGUUAACCAUGCACCCAAAAUGAAUUACUUCAUUGCUCAUAGAGUAAAUACCAAUUUUUGAGGGAUACCAUUGAUUUUAUACUGAAAAAACAUUCUUUUUUAACAUUCUAUAUUAAACAUAUAGUAAAUAUCAAUUUCGUUCUCUCAUGUUUUUUGACCUUAUUAGUUUGGUUUCUCGAAAACUAAAAAACCCAAAGUGGAUCAAAAAAUUUCAAAUGUUGGUCAAAUUAGUUGUUUUUAUCAUCUUUUAAAACACUUGAUAUGAAUUAAUGUGACUUAUAUUUAAAACUUUUUUAGACAAUUUCGGGUUUUUUAUUUUUUGAAGGAGCAAUCUAGUAAGGUAUGAAAAUACGGGGGACUGAAAUAAAUAUUUAUUGUAAAACAUGUUUUACUUUUUGAAUGAAAUUUAUGUGAUCGACUAAAUAGGGAGUGAAAAAAAGGAAGAAAAUAGAGAGAUACCAACCUGCUAUGGAAAUUAGAAAGAAGAGAAAAAAAGCUAACUUUGCUGAAUUCUUUGUCAUUGUGUUCUUGAAUCUUUACUUCUCACACUUUUAUUUAAUCUGAUUUUUAUUCUAUAUACAAUCAAAUGCACUGCUUAUAUACAAAAAG
rnacentral:lncRNA from 1 species